rnacentral:lncRNA from 1 species
AUGGACGGUUACCUCAAUAACCUUUCCCUCGAAUACGAAUCUGUCUGGGACACCAAACCAGCUUGGUGUCAGCCACGGACAAUAGCACUAACAGGGGUUUCAAUUGUUGCUAUUAGUUGGUUGGUUUUUCAAUCGGUUGUUGUUACUUCAGCCAUAUCCCUACUCAUUUUUGCAUGGUGGUACAUCUUUCUUUAUUCUUAUCCCAAGGCUUAUUCAGCUAUGAUUGCGGAGCGCAGAGAAAGGAUUACAGAUGGUGUUGAAGACACGUAUGGUCGUAGGAAGUAG